GGUCCCAAACCCCCACGUCUGCAAGGAUCAAACCCUGGCCAAGAAGGGGGAAGGUGCGGAGGCCUUGUGUUGGAGGCACCGAGGGUAAUUUUAGCAGUUUGCUGCGGGGGAGCCGUGUCUGUGUUGGAGACCGGAGGCCACUCCCGGGUGUCUCCCCGGUAACUCUGCUCUCGGCACUGGUGGGCGUCAGGGCAGGCCGCCCGCGGCACUGGGCCUGUAAACACGGCCCUUGGUCUGGCUGUCUCGGGGGAUGACGGCUUCUGAAAUAACUUUAUAAUUAGCAAACCUUUCGGGUGGCUGUUUCCUUCUCUGGCACACGGAAUAACUGCUGAAAUUAUUAUUUCUAUUAACCAGACUGCCCCGAUUUCUAAGGACCGACAGGCACCGAGUGAGACGUGUAAAGCUUUCCACAGGUGAUGGAUCCACGUGGGUCUGGGGCCAUCGUGUUCUUGGGGAGUGACCCACCGGGCUGGCGCAACACCCCAGGGAUGUCCCUGCUGACUCUGACGACCCUAAUGAAAGCCAGCUGAACUCGGUCGGCUUCUUGGCGACACGGCCUGACUUCCCUGAAUCUGGGGCCUUCCACGGACAGGAGCCGGGCACUUCCUUGUUCUUUUGGAUCGAGUCUGAGUUGGGUGUCUGUCACUUGCAACCAAAGGAGUCCGGGUCGAAGUAGCCAGUGAUGGCCACAAUUCGGGGGAAAAAAGUAACCUGGCAGUCCAAGGGCUUGAAAACCCACAGAGUAGCACCAGGGGCUCAAGAACACUUGAAGGAGGAUUUCUGAGGCUGGUUCCCUGGCCUGCAUCCCGGCAGGUGACCCCAGCUGACCUGCAGCUUUCCCUCCUCCUCCUGCCUUCAAAAUCUCCCCUCCUUUUCUUCCUGGGCCGUUGAUGAUUGCUGUGGUUAUCACUGCUGUCCUAUCGGAGUCUGUUGUCCGAUUACAAAAUAAUUCAUGUUUACUGGGUCAUUUUAAACCCCACAUUUCCAUACAUUUAAAAGAAUUUUGCUGUAUAAAAACCUCUCAUUACAGCAUUAUCUCCGGAGGGCAAAUGCUAGAAAUAACACCCAUAUUCAGUGACAGGGAUAGGAACGUUCAUUAGGACGCUUCCGUCCCAUGGGCUGUAACGCACGUGUGGAAA